UUCUUAUGGCUCAGAUGGUAAAGAAUCUGCCUCCAAAGCAGGAGACUCAGGUUCAAUCCCUGGAUCAGGAA
rnacentral:tRNA from 1 species